rnacentral:rRNA from 1 species
AAUAGAUACCCGGGUAGUCCACCCGUAAACGUUGGGAACUAGUUGUGGGGUCCAUCCCACGGAUUCCGUGACGAAGCUAACGCAUUAAGUUCCCCGCCUGGGGAGUACGGCCGCAAGGCUAAAACUCAAAGGAAUUGACGGGGACCCGCACAAGCGGCGGGAGCAUGCGGAUUAAUUCGAUGCAACGCGAAGAACCUUACCAAGGCUUGACAUACACGAGAACGCCCUAGAAAUAGGGAACUCUUUGGACACUCGUGAACAGGUGGUGCAUGGUUGUCGUCAGCUCGUGUCGUGAGAUGUUGGGUUAAGUCCCGCAACGAGCGCAACCCUCGUUCUAUGUUGCCAGCACGUAAUGGUGGGAACUCAUGGGAUACUGCCGGGGUCAACUCGGAGGAAGGUGGGGAUGACGUCAAAUCAUCAUGCCCCUUAUGUCUUGGGCUUCACGCAUGCUACAAUGGCCGGUACAAGGGCUGCAAUACCGUAAGGUGGAGCGAAUCCCAAAAGCCGGUCCCAGUUCGGAUUGAGGUCUGCAACUCGACCUCA